CCGAGGCCCUGUGGAGGCUCUGGUCACUUCUCCACCCAAAUCUGACAACGUGCUCCAGCCGAUGGCCGACCUACGGCGGGGGCCUCCCUUUCUUCUCUCCGUUUGCUGCCUCUCCCCUAGCAUGCGUGUCCCUUCCAUGGCGCCUUCUCUCUCUCCCUCCCCUCCCAUGGUGCCCCUCCCUCCCUUCCCAUGGCACGCCUCCCUCUCCCUCUGUUCCUCACAUGUCGCCCCUCUCCCUCCCUUCUUCCUAUGGCGCUUCAUUCCUCUGUCUUGGUGUCUGUCCCUCUCUCUUUUUGAACCCUAGAACACAAGCAGGUUGAUUGGAGUUCAGUUUUGCAAGUCUGCGGCAGUCAAUUAAAAAGAAGGUGACACCAAUGCUAUGUGAGGCGUUGCAGGUUGGGCCGCUGGAGUAAGAAGCUGCUUCUCCUGCUGCUGCAUAGUGAGUAGUGUCUCAUGUCUGCUUAGUUAGUGAUUGCUUAGUACUCCUUUCUUUGUUAGUGAUUGCUUAGUCCCGCUUUCUUCUUUCUUACAAACUGAUGCAAAGAUUCUGCACAUAGGCCUUCUAGUUCACGCAAACUUAUCCAAAUAAUCCAGUCAGCCCAGUCACUAUUAGCACUUCGGAUCUGCACCAAAUAUGACAUGGUGCGUGUGGCAUCUAUCAUAUUAGUAUAUAUGGUUAGUUGUAUCAUGUUGGUACUAUAGCAAAUAGCAAAUCUUGGAUCUUCCACUAGUAUAUCUAAAGCAGAAUUGCACAAGCCAAGCUGAAAGAGAUAGGGAGGUAGUGUCUACGAUAUAACAAAGGCUAGCUCAGAGAGUGGCAGGGAGCUAGCCUAGUCCGGUGAUGGACUCUCCCAUGGGCUCCUGGUGGUUGCAGUGGUCGCCGUCCUCCUCUGCUACCCUUUUAUUUUAUUUGCUUCAUUAUACAUUUUUGUUGUUAUUCAGUUUUGAGCAUGCAUGGAUACUUGUUUCAUGGUACUUUUUAGCAUAUACAUUCAGAUUUUGUUUUCUAGUUUUUGGGGGCGAAAUCGAACUUGGUAAAUCACAUGGAGGUUCCCCCUUGUGGGCUAGUUCAGUAUGUGUUGUCAUGUUUUUGUGCGGGUAUUUUCACUAUUUUUCUAGCUUAAUAUGACCUUUUGCAGUCCAGGAUUCACGCCCCCCCCCCCCCCCCCCCCCCGAGAUUAUGUUUGUGUUUUGGUUAGUGUUACCUGAAAUCUCAUCCCAUCCUUCCAUGUGAGAUCAUAUUUUUUGUUUCUCAUCGUUUUGCAGCAGCAAGGGUUGUGGUUUCUAUGGGGCAGAGGUCGUCUAGGGGAUGCUAUGAACCCAACUUAGGUCCUGGUGAUGGUUUCUAAAACAGUGAGACUUGCGGGGAGAGCAGUGCUCAUGUUUUAGCCUUGUUUAGUUGUAUUGCACUCCAGAUCUGAUCUUGUUUAGUCUUUAGUAAAAAAAAUCACCCAACUGCUUCAAGUUUAUUCAAUCUUAGCAGUAAUACAGAAAAUCAUUAGUUAUCAGUGUUUUUGUGUUUAAUCCAAUCUUAUCUAUCAUUUUUUUUGUCAGCCUUCUUUCUCCCUGUUUUUAGUUCUGUUAUCUGUUUUUUUAGAUCAUUGGUUAUCAUUCAUAAUUCAGUGUGUUUGUAUUUAGUUUAUCAUUCAGCUUUGUAUUUAUUUUUUGUCUGUCAUCUUCUUCUAGUUGAUCAGUCCAUAUUGUCUUUCUUAUCGGUUUUGUCAUUAGUAAUUAGUUACUAGUCUUGUUUUGUCCUCUAUGUUAGUUAGUUCAUCAGUGUAUUUAGUUUUUAGUUAUAAUUUAUAAUUAUUUUGCCUUACUAUUUAGCAUUUUCCAGUUUCCAUAUCAUUCUUCAUUUAUCAGUCAUCUGCAUUGUUUCUUUCUCCCUGUUUUUAGUUCUCAGUUAUCUUUUCUUAGAUCAUUAUUUAGCAUUCAUAUGUCAGUGUGUUUGUAUUUAGUUUAUCAUUUAGUCUUUGUAUUUAUUUUCUGUCUGUCAUCUUCUUCUAGUUGAUCAGUCCAUGGUCUUUCUUAUCGAUUUUGUCAUUAGUAAUUAGUUAUUAGUCUUGUUUUGUCCUCUAUGUUAGUUAGUUCAUCAGUGUAUUUACUUUUCAGAUUUUAAGCCUCUUUUUAUUUCUUAGUAAAUGUUAGUUUAUUAGUCUUGUUUUUGCAUUAAUUAGUUUUGAAAAACUAACCCUAUCUGUGUGUUGAUUCCUCAGUUUUUCUUUUAUUGUUUUCAAUCUUGUUCAUCAGUUCCUUUCAGAUUUUUUGCUCAAUUUGUGUAUUUUUAAAAUUAAACCGUAUCAGUCUUCCAUUUUUUAGGUCGAUCAGUUUCAUUCUUUGUUUUAAUCUAGGUGUAUUUGUUUAUAUCUAGAGCUCCCAAUUAACCUGAUUUAUGAGAAAAGUUUUCAUGGUCCAAACAACGCCUAAAUUGGUUUCGAUUAUGAGGCUAUGCCUUUUUUUAAAUUAUGGUUCUAAAAGCCAGGGCACACGUGCAACGAAUUUUUCAGUGUCACGCUAGCGAAAGCCUUUUCAUUAAUGUGUUCACUUAUUAGGUCUUCAGUCAUUCGAUUGUCAUCUUGAGUCGUUGUAGUUCACUUAUUAGGUUUACAGUCUUCUUUUCUCUUCUGCUAUCUGUUUUAUUCAGUCAUUAUUGUUCAAAUUUCCUCUAAUUUUCUUCAUUUUAUUCAAGUAUAAUUUUUCCUUGAUCUUCUUUUGCUUAGUUACUCUUAGUUCUAGGCCAUACAGAAUGCUUAGUCAUUCUUAGUUUUAGUAAAUCUUCAUUUAUCAACAGUUUUUUAUAGUUUGUUUUUACGUAUAAUUAGUUAACCCUAGUUGUACUCAUAUUGGAUCUUACAUGCUUAUUCCUAUCUAGUUUUCGGUCAGAGACCAGAUGAAAGUAGUUUUCAGACCAGUAUUACUACAUAUAGAAGAAAGGUCAGCCAGCAUAGCGCUGCAAGUUCCACAUUGUGUGCUCGCGCUAGGGAUGGAAUGGAAGUGUCAUAAAUUAUAUCAUGGGAUCAGUGCUCCUUUUUCUAUGAGCUUGUAUCAUUUAGCUAUUAUUCAGUUUCUUGGAGUUUAGGCUUGGAAUGGAUUCGCUAUACCAUGGAUCAUGUGUUAACUUGUAUCAGUGUUGUACUGGCCUCUCAUACUUUUACGAUUUGGAUGAAUAAGGUAACAAAUUUCUUCUUUUGCAUCAUUGUCCUUUCAUACAUUUCAGAUUUUGAUGAAUUGCAGGAGAUCCUUAUAUUAUUUCUUCAGUGUUUUAUCAGUCAGUGAGCUAGAACCUAGUUCUUGGUCAGUUUAAUCUUUCUUCGGUUUCUAUAUGUUCCUAGGUGAAUUAUCAGUACUGUUCAGUGUUACAUUCGGUGUUUCAUUACUUUCUUUCUUCAGAUUUGUCCAUGCUUUUCAGUUGUGAUAUAUGGCACUUUUGCAAACUGUUUUUUUUCUUCAGUUCUUCAAAUUUUCUAUCUAGUUUUUUUUCAUUGUCUUAUAUCUCUCACUUUACUUCAUUUGCUUUUUUGUACUCGUACUAAUUCUCAUUUCCUCAUUAUUAUUCUUCAAUCCUUUCUUUUUAUAUGACUUACCACUCUUUCAAUCUUUUGCCCUUGUCAUUUAAUUUUUGCCAGUCUUGUCAUUUAGCCAUUCUUUUCUUAUACUACUGUAGUAAGUUUGAGUGAUGCAAUUUUGAGUUUUGGUUCGCCUUGUCAAUUGUGACAGCAGGGCCAUUCUCAGUUCCUGAUUUUUUUUCUUGCAGGGUGUUAUUUAAUUAUUUAAUUGAACGGUUCAGAGUUUGAAGAUGUUACUUAGGGACAACCAGAAUUGUUCGAUAUUUCUCUGAAAAUAAAAGAACCGCUUGAUUAUAUAGAAGACAUGUGUCGACCAUUGCUGAAUUUUUUAUUGAAAAGGCAGCAAGUAUUUUAGGGUACCACAUAGUGAGAAGACACACAAUACCAGAGAGCAAGUUGCGUCAAUCUCUGAGAGAUCACCAAAGUUCAGUUCGACUACUGUACGACAUGUCACCUUCUGACAUCAGCUGAACACUGCUAUCGACAUGUCACCUUCUGACAUCAGCUGAACACUGCUAUAACUAAAUGCCAGUCUAUAGUUGGCCAGCUAUCCCUGAAUAACUGGAGAAGGCAGGUCCGUAGUUUGGGUAUAAUCUAGUUUGAGUACUAAACAGAAGUGUAUGUACACAGCAAGGUCUUUGUUCAGGUUCAGAGAUACUUGUACUGUUUAGGUUUCAGAGACACUUGUAAACCAUUAACUGAAUUUAGGAUUCUUGUGUCCACGGCCAAGGUCUAUCAGCACAAAAGGCCAAGGUCACUAGUUUAUUUUUUACAUCUUUGUUUCAGUGUUGUAUUCAGUCAUCUUUCUCUCUAUCAUUGGUCAUUCAGCUUUCAGUUAUUA